CGGGACGGGUGAGUAAUGCUUGGGAAUCUAGCUUAUGGAGGGGGGUAACUACGGGAAACUGUAGCUAAUACCGCGUAAUAUCGGAAGAUUAAAGUGUGGGACCUUCGGGCCAUAUGCCAUAGGAUGAGCCCAAGUGGGAUUAGGUAGUUGGUGAGGUAAAGGCUCACCAAGCCGACGAUCUCUAGCUGGUCUGAGAGGAUGACCAGCCACACUGGGACUGAGACACGGCCCAG
rnacentral:rRNA from 1 species